rnacentral:rRNA from 1 species
UACAGAGGGUGCAAGCGUUGUUCGGAAUUAUUGGGCGUAAAGCGCGUGUAGGCGGCUUUGCAAGUCGGGUGUGAAAGCCCUCAGCUCAACUGAGGAAGUGCGCCCGAAACUGCAGAGCUUGAGUACCGGAGAGGAUGGCGGAAUUCCCCAAGUAGAGGUGAAAUUCGUAGAUAUGGGGAGGAACACCGGUGGCGAAGGCGGCCAUCUGGACGGAUACUGACGCUGAGGCGCGACAGCGUGGGGAGCAAACGAGG